rnacentral:lncRNA from 1 species
UGUGAUUUUAUAGAAAAAUGAGUUUAAAUGGUAAAUCCUUAUGUUUUAUAAGUAAAAUGUGAUUAAAUGAAAUGAGUUUUAUAAAUCAUUUUGAAAUUGAAUGAUGAUUUUAGAAAUUGAGUAAUUGGAGACUAUUUGAUUGUGUUGUAAAUUUAUGGUUUGAAUUGAAUGGCUUAUGGUGAUAUUGGCUUGAAUGGCUGAAUUGGAAAUU